CCGGAACCAGUUCUGGAACACUACCGGUUAAGAUAUGGUCUGAGAGUAUUUUCCUGCAUACCGUUCAUCAGGUUAUGGAAAAUGCCGCGUUUUUAUGUGUCGCAUGCAUAGGGUUGUAGCAUUUUCAUAUCUGGCCCCUUCCUGGGGUACCGGUCCGGAACACCUAAAUGGCUAUAACUCCGGAACGGCUGGACCGAUCCGAACCAUUUUCAAUAGGAAGCAAUGGGACCAGAUUCCGCAUCGAAUGAACCGUCGGUCAUUAAAAUAGGUUGAGGUUUACUGCCAAAAAGUGAUGUGAGUUUUUUAUACACACACAUACACACAUACACACAUACAUACACACACACAUACAUACACACAGACAUCACCUCAAUUCGUCGAGCUGAGUUGAUUGGUAUAUGUGACUCGACCCUCCGGGCCUUCUAUCAAAAAGUAAUUUUUGGAGUGAACAUAUAGCCUUUCCAGUACACUUAGUGUACGAGAAAGGCAAAAAUUGAAGAAAAGAAAAUAAGACAAGAGUAAGCACUAUAUCCAAUAGCAACGACCCACGCGACGGAAAAGGACUUGCGAUUGGAAACUCAGCACGAGGAACUGCAGGACUGUAGUUCCGAUCUGAGUCUCGCGGACUGACUCAAUAUGCUCUCUCAGCGGGAGCCAAACAUCGGUAGCCAAACAUUGAAGAUGGAGGUUAUGUUAAUGACAAACGUUUUGAAAUCCCGCUUCAACCAUACAUCAGAACUUCAGACGCACAAAUCUCAAGAUGCAAGCUUCAAGCAACAGUGAAUUUUAUUAUUCUGUUCUUGCUCACUCGUAAUAAGCUUAAAAUGAGAAGAUCGGGGGUACUGGUUUUGUUUACGAAGAUAUUUGUGCGCUCAAAAUAGUGAGUAGGUAACGAAGUCGGCCAUUGUGGCGGCCAUUUUGGGAUUCUAACAAGUCUGUCCUUAAACCUUGUUGAACCUGUGUGAUUGAUUGAAGAGUAUUGUUAUCUAGGUGUUGCGGAUAUAAUCAAAAUUGUUGUCACGAUAUCUCCAUUUGCCGUUGUCAAGCCGUUGGAAAGCGAGGAGAAGGAUAAACAUUGUUCUGAGCCUAUUUUAGCUAAUUUUGUAACAACUAUCCAUCAAAAUUUCCAUCGCGAAUGGAAAAUAAUAAACGUUGAACACGAGAACAAAAUUGGAAUAAUGGUGGAUUGAUCAUGUUUACCAUUUCCGAAUAGCGUCGCGACGCCGUGUUUGACAACCGAGCUGAGAGAGGUGGUUGCAAGAAAAUUGAACGCUCGUGCGUGUUUACAAGCUGUGUGCCAAGAGUGUGUAUGUGUGUGUUGGCUAGCUUGAAAAAUAAAACCGUUUCUAUUCGCAACACUCAGCUUCCAACACAGCCUCUCUGGAUGGAUGGUACUUCUUCGACAUUGUCGAUGUCGGCGUCGGUGGUGUAGUGGUAAGCGUGGUUGCCUCUCACCCCAGUCGGUCGGGGUUCAAUUCCCGUCGACGCCGAUGGGAUUUUCUGAGACAUAAAAUCCGUGAUCACGCCUUCCCUCGGAUAGGAAGUAAAGCCGUAGGUCCCGGCCCAUGUGUUGAUGGGUUCGAUAUGUAGGGUCCUCAGGUGUGGUGGCUGUCUCCCUGGGGCGUCGGAAUUUAAGGCUUAGCUCCUAGACCCAGCCGACGUAAAACACAA